CUGGCUUCCCAGUGAAGCGGGAGGAGGAACGGAAGGGAGCCCUUACAGAGCCCCUUCCGUCCCUCAUCCCACUUUGCUGGGAAGCCAG
rnacentral:miRNA from 1 species